UGACUGCGUACCUUUUGUAUAAUGGGUCAGCGACUUAUAUUCUGUAGCAAGGUUAACCGAAUAGGGGAGCCGGAGGGAAACCGAGUCUUAAUUGGGCGUUAAGUUGCAGGGUAUAGACCCGAAACCCGGUGAUCUAGCCAUGGGCAGGUUGAAGGUUGGGUAACACUAACUGGAGGACCGAACCGACUAAUGUUGAAAAAUUAGCGGAUGACCUGUGGCUGGGGGUGAAAGGCCAAUCAAACCGGGAGAUAGCUGGUUCUCCCCGAAAGCUAUUUAGGUAGCGCCUCGUGAAUUCAUCUCCGGGGGUAGAGCACUGUUUCGGCUAGGGGGCCAUCCCGGCUUACCAACCCGAUGCAAACUGCGAAUACCGGAGAAUGUUAUCACGGGAGACACACGGCGGGUGCUAACGUCCGUCGUGAAGAGGGAAACAACCCAGACCGCCAGCUAAGGUCCCAAAGUCAUGGUUAAGUGGGAAACGAUGUGGGAAGGCCCAGACAGCCAGGAUGUUGGCUUAGAAGCAGCCAUCAUUUAAAGAAAGCGUAAUAGCUCACUGGUCGAGUCGGCCUGCGCGGAAGAUGUAACGGGGCUAAACCAUGCACCGAAGCUGCGGCAGCGACGCUGAUGCGUUGUUGGGUAGGGGAGCGUUCUGUAAGCCUGCGAAGGUGACCUGUGAGGGUUGCUGGAGGUAUCAGAAGUGCGAAUGCUGACAUAAGUAACGAUAAAGCGGGUGAAAAGCCCGCUCGCCGGAAGACCAAGGGUUCCUGUCCAACGUUAAUCGGGGCAGGGUGAGUCGACCCCUAAGGCGAGGCCGAAAGGCGUAGUCGAUGGGAAACGGGUUAAUAUUCCCGUACUUGGUGUUACUGCGAAGGGGGGACGGAGAAGGCUAUGUUGGCCGGGCGACGGUUGUCCCGGUUUAAGCGUGUAGGUGUGUGUUCCAGGUAAAUCCGGUUCACUUUAACACUGAGGCGUGACGACGAGGCACUACGGUGCUGAAGCAACAAAUGCCCUGCUUCCAGGAAAAGCCUCUAAGCAUCAGGUAACAUCAAAUCGUACCCCAAACCGACACAGGUGGUCAGGUAGAGAAUACCAAGGCGCUUGAGAGAACUCGGGUGAAGGAACUAGGCAAAAUGGUGCCGUAACUUCGGGAGAAGGCACGCUGACACGUAGGUGAAGUGAUUUACUCAUGGAGCUGAAGUCAGUCGAAGAUACCAGCUGGCUGCAACUGUUUAUUAAAAACACAGCACUGUGCAAACACGAAAGUGGACGUAUACGGUGUGACGCCUGCCCGGUGCCGGAAGGUUAAUUGAUGGGGUCAGCGCAAGCGAAGCUCCUGAUCGAAGCCCCGGUAAACGGCGGCCGUAACUAUAACGGUCCUAAGGUAGCGAAAUUCCUUGUCGGGUAAGUUCCGACCUGCACGAAUGGCGUAAUGAUGGCCAGGCUGUCUCCACCCGAGACUCAGUGAAAUUGAACUCGCUGUGAAGAUGCAGUGUACCCGCGGCAAGACGGAAAGACCCCGUGAACCUUUACUAUAGCUUGACACUGAACAUUGAGCCUUGAUGUGUAG
rnacentral:rRNA from 1 species